rnacentral:rRNA from 1 species
AUUGAACGCUGGCGGCAGGCCUAACACAUGCAAGUCGAACGAGUGGCGGACGGGUGAGUAAUGUCUGGGAAACUGCCUGAUGGAGGGGGAUAACUACUGGAAACGGUAGCUAAUACCGCAUACCAUCGGAUGUGCCCAGAUGGGAUUAGCUAGUAGGUGGGGUAAGGGCUCACCUAGGCGACGAUCCCUAGCUGGUCUGAGAGGAUGACCGGCGACACGUGAACUGAGACACGGUCCGAACUCCUACGGGAGGCAGCAGUGGGGAAUGUUGCGCAAUGGGCGCAAGCCUGAUGCAGCCGUGCCGCGUGUAUGAAGAAGGCCUUCGGGUUGUAGAGGACGUUCAGCGGGGAGGCGUUACCCGCAGAAGAAGCACCGGCUAACUCCGUGCCAGCAGCCGCGGUAAUAG